rnacentral:misc_RNA from 1 species
AACGCAAAUUGCGCUCUUGGGUAGCCCUAGGAGCACGCCUCUCUCAGUAUCGGUUCAACAACCUCUCAGCAGCGUAUGCAAAUACGUGUUGGCUGGAUAAUGAGAGUCUGAGUUUCACGACUCAGUCUCUUGAAAUACAUCGAGUGAGCGUCAAUUCUUAUACAGCGACUUCGGGUCGCAGCUGGUCUCUGACUGGUUGUAUGGGAGUGACGUGAAUACUGGCCUUUAUUGGUCUCAUUUACGUGUAACUUCUUGCAGCUACUAAAGUCUAGGAUUAGUGUAUCUGAAUAUGUCUCAUGUACCGCGACUUCACUGUCGCAAUCGGCUUCAAUUUAAUUGUAGACUGAAUUUUGAUCUGAGAUGAAGCGAGACAACCCCCUGGAUUUAA